GUGAGUAAUGCCUAGGAAUCUGCCUAGUAGUGGGGGAUAACGUCCGGAAACGGGCGCUAAUACCGCAUACGUCCUACGGGAGAAAGUGGGGGAUCUUCGGACCUCACGCUAUUAGAUGAGCCUAGGUCGGAUUAGCUAGUUGGUGAGGUAAUGGCUCACCAAGGCGACGAUCCGUAACUGGUCUGAGAGGAUGAUCAGUCACACUGGAACUGAGACACGGUCCAGACUCCUACGGGAGGCAGCAGUGGGGAAUAUUGGACAAUGGGCGAAAGCCUGAUCCAGCCAUGCCGCGUGUGUGAAGAAGGUCUUCGGAUUGUAAAGCACUUUAAGUUGGGAGGAAGGGCAGUUACCUAAUACGUGAUUGUUUUGACGUUACCGACAGAAUAAGCACCGGCUAACUCUGUGCCAGCAGCCGCGGUAAUACAGAGGGUGCAAGCGUUAAUCGGAAUUACUGGGCGUAAAGCGCGCGUAGGUGGUUUGUUAAGUUGGAUGUGAAAGCCCCGGGCUCAACCUGGGAACUGCAUCCAAAACUGGCAAGCUAGAGUAUGGUAGAGGGUGGUGGAAUUUCCUGUGUAGCGGUGAAAUGCGUAGAUAUAGGAAGGAACACCAGUGGCGAAAGCGACCACCUGGGACUGAUACUGACACUGAGUGCGAAAGCGUGGGGAGCAAACAGGAUUAGAUACCCUGGUUAGUCCACCGCCGUAACGAUUGUCACUAGCCGUUGGGAGCCUUGAGCUUCUUAGUUGCGCAGCUUACGCAUUAAGUUUGAC
rnacentral:rRNA from 1 species